CCGAUUUGGUUGUUGAUUUCAAUCACCCACUUUAUUUGCAUUCGUCGGAUACUCCAAGUGUAUUAUUAAUCUCUCAUUUGUUGCUUGGAGUUGAAAAGUACAAUAUUUGGAGUCGGUCUAUAAAGAUUGCGUUGUUGGCUAAGAACAAAUUAGGGUUUGUGGAUGCUACUUGUUCUAAGGCUUCGCUACCAAAGUAUUUGAGUUAUCAAUAGAAGCGGUGUAAUGCUAUUGUAUUGUCCUGGAUUUUGAAUACAAUUAGCAGAGAGCUCUCGACAGGAAUUGUAGUUGCUUCUAGUGUAGCGGCCGUGUGGAAUGAUCUUAGUGAAAGUUUCAUAAAGUUGAUGGCUCUAGG
rnacentral:lncRNA from 1 species